rnacentral:rRNA from 1 species
UUCGCCUGUUAUCAAAAACAUUGCCAGAAGUUUUAUUUUUGGUAUUGCCUGCUCACUGUUUAUAUAAAGAGCCGCAGUAAUUUGACUGUGCAAAGGUAGCGUAAUCAUUUGUCUAUUAAUUGUAGUCUGUAUGAAAGGCGUAACGUAUUUCAACUGUCUCUAUUAAUAUUAGUUGAAUUUUCCUGGAAAGUGAAAAGGCUUUCUUUUAGAAAAAAGACGAGAAGACCCUUAGAGUUUUUACUAUAAUUUGUAAAUCAAAUAAAGUUUUUGUUGGGGCAACAAGAGAACACUUAAUUUCUUUUUUUAAACCUGCUCUUUUUGAGAAAGAAAAAACUACCUGAGGGAUAACAGCAUAAUUUUUUAUAAAGUUUAUGACCUCGAUGUUGGACUAGGAAAUUUUUUCCCCAGAAAGGAAAAAAUCAAGCUCUGUUCGAGCUUAAUCUCCUACGUGAUCUGAGUUCAGACCGGAGNCC